rfam:Aedes albopictus isolate Foshan contig14888, whole genome shotgun sequence.
UGCCCAGCAACUCCUAUCCCUACCUCCUCGUGGUACCGGCUGGAAAUUACGAGCAACCUUACCUUAGAGAAGA